CCUUGUCAACUGGGUCGGGUACAACCCAGAGGAACGUUCUUGUAGCUCCCAGAAUCUCAUGCUUGAUCCCACUCUCUUGGUCGACUUCUCCAGGGUAGCGUGGAAGGACGCCGGGAGGUAUCCGUAAAGGGCGGGGCCCGGUCAUGUACUGCCCUACAGUAUGCUUGUGCUCUCUCUCUCUCUCUCUCUCCCCUCCCAUUGCUCUUCCAGCACCUGUUCUCAAUCAGCCAUCACCACCACCACCACAACCACCACCACUAUUUAAGCCUGCCUGUUUCCCGAGUUACUGCAGACUCUCAUAGCGGUACCACGAUCCACAUACUUACCGCCAGGGGCGCUCGAGCAGAAAGGGCCUGUUGCCUUGAGAUCUGCGGUCAUGAAGUCCUUUGAACACUUUGUUCUGGAUCACCUCAAGAGCGUCACAGGCCCCCAGCUGGACCUACUGCAGUUUGCCUAACAAGCCAACAGGUCCGCGGAUGAUGCCGUCUUCAUCCUUGAACAUCUUGACAACAAGGGUACCUAUCUCAGCGUCACGCCUGCCAUCUCCCGGUGUAUAUAGAACUUCCUGACGGGCAAGACACAGGAGGUGAGGCUGCGGGACACCACCUCAUUCAUGCGCACUAUCAGCACCCGGCCACCCCAAGGUUGUGUCCUCUCCCCUCUGUUCUUCUUGCUCUACACUAACGACUGCCCCUCAUGGCAUCCGACUGUCAAACUCCUGAGGUUCGCAGAUGACACCACGGUCACUGGCCUCAUCAAAAACGGCGACGAGUCUGCAUAUCGACAGGAAGUGGCGAGACUGGAGCUUUGGUGUGGUCAAAAACAAUUUGAGGUUGAACACUCUAAAGACUGUAGAGAUGAUUAUGGACUUCCUGAGGCAUCCUUAACCACAGCUGCCCCUGACACUGUCCAACUGCCUUGUGUCAACUGUCGAGACCUUCAACUUCUUGGGAAUUACAAUCUCAAAGGACCUGAAGUGAGAGACUAACAUCAACUCCAUUCUCAAAAAAACCCCAGCAAAAGAUGUACUUCUUGCUGCUUCUGAGGAAGCACGGUCUGUCACAUGAGCUGCUGAGACAGUUCUACACAGCGGUCAUCCAAUCAGUACUGUGUAUUUCCACCACAGUCUUAAAAAAAGGACAAACGCCGACUGCAACAGACAUCACAACAGAUUACGGAUUAUCGGCACCACUCUACCCACUAUUGAGAAUUAUACACAACAUGAACUAGGUCCAAAGCAGGCAGGAUCCUUUCGGAUCCUCCACAUCCUGGCC